AGAUCUCUCUGUUCGGCUUCUUUUCGGCGAGCAGCGGCAAUGUCGGCAGGAUAAGUGAACUGCACGCUGUAGUAGAGGUCAGACUGCUCUU
rnacentral:sRNA from 1 species